rnacentral:rRNA from 1 species
AGUCGAACGGCAGCACGGGGGCAACCCUGGUGGCGAGUGGCGAACGGGUGAGUAAUACAUCGGAACGUGUCCUGUAGUGGGGGAUAGCCCGGCGAAAGCCGGAUUAAUACCGCAUACGCUCUACGGAGGAAAGGGGGGGAUCUCAGGACCUCCCGCUACAGGGGCGGCCGAUGGCAGAUUAGCUAGUUGGUGGGGUAAAGGCCUACCAAGGCGACGAUCUGUAGCUGGUCUGAGAGGACGACCAGCCACACUGGGACUGAGACACGGCCCAGACUCCUACGGGAGGCAGCAGUGGGGAAUUUUGGACAAUGGGCGAAAGCCUGAUCCAGCAAUGCCGCGUGUGUGAAGAAGGCCUUCGGGUUGUAAAGCACUUUUGUCCGGAAAGAAAACCUCCGCCCUAAUAUGGUGGGGGGAUGACGGUACCGGAAGAAUAAGCACCGGCUAACUACGUGCCAGCAGCCGCGGUAAUACGUAGGGUGCAAGCGUUAAUCGGAAUUACUGGGCGUAAAGCGUGCGCAGGCGGUCCGCUAAGACAGAUGUGAAAUCCCCGGGCUUAACCUGGGAACUGCAUUUGUGACUGGCGGGCUAGAGUAUGGCAGAGGGGGGUAGAAUUCCACGUGUAGCAGUGAAAUGCGUAGAGAUGUGGAGGAAUACCGAUGGCGAAGGCAGCCCCCUGGGCCAAUACUGACGCUCAUGCACGAAAGCGUGGGGAGCAAACAGGAUUAGAUACCCUGGUAGUCCACGCCCUAAACGAUGUCAACUAGUUGUUGGGGAUUCAUUUCCUUAGUAACGUAGCUAACGCGUGAAGUUGACCGCCUGGGGAGUACGGUCGCAAGAUUAAAACUCAAAGGAAUUGACGGGGACCCGCACAAGCGGUGGAUGAUGUGGAUUAAUUCGAUGCAACGCGAAAAACCUUACCUACCCUUGACAUGUAUGGAACCCUGCUGAGAGGUGGGGGUGCCCGAAAGGGAGCCAUAACACAGGUGCUGCAUGGCUGUGGUCAGCUC